rnacentral:rRNA from 1 species
UACGUAGGCAGCGAGCGUUGUUCGGAGUUACUGGGCGUAAAGAGUGCGUAGGCGGUUUUCUAAGUUUGGUGUGAAAUCUCCCGGCUUAACUGGGAGGGUGCGCCGAAGACUGGAAGGCUUGAGUAUGGGAGAGGUAAGCGGAAUUCCUGGUGUAGCAGUGAAAUGCGUAGAUAUCAGGAGGAACACCUGCGGUGUAGACGGCUUACUGGACCAUCACUGACGCUGAGGCACGAAAGCGUGGGUAGCAAACAGG